rnacentral:rRNA from 1 species
UACGUAGGGUGCGAGCGUUGUUCGGAUUUACUGGGCGUAAAGGGCGCGUAGGCGGCCACCGCAAGUCAAUUGUGAAAUCUCCGGGCUUAACUCGGAAAGGUCAACUGAUACUGCGGGGCUAGAGUGCGGAAGGGGCAACUGGAAUUCUCGGUGUAGCGGUGAAAUGCGUAGAUAUCGAGAGGAACACCUGCGGCGAAGGCGGGUUGCUGGGCCGACACUGACGCUGAUGCGCGAAAGCCAGGGGAGCGAACGGG